GGGCCAGUAGCUCAGCAGGUUAGAGUACGUCCCUGAUAAGGACGGGGUCGGUGGUUCGAGUCCACCCUGGCCCACCA
rnacentral:tRNA from 1 species